GUUCCGAUAGCCUAGUGGUUAGAGCGUCCGCCUCGGAUGCGGAAGGUCGUGGGUUCGAUCCCCGGUCGAGUCA